UGGCGGCGUGCCUAAUACAUGCAAGUCGAACGGUCUUUCUAUGGAAGCUUGCUUCCACUGAGAAGAUAGUGGCGAACGGGUGAGUAACACGUGGGUAACCUGCCCAUAAGAGGGGGGAUAACAUCCGGAAACGGGUGCUAAUACCGCAUAGUUUUCUUGGUCGCAUGAUCGGGAAAGGGAAGACGGCCUUUGUGCUGUCGCUUAUGGAUGGACCCGCGGCGUAUUAGUUAGUUGGUGAGGUAACGGCUCACCAAGACGAUGAUACGUAGCCGACCUGAGAGGGUGAUCGGCCACAUUGGGACUGAGACACGGCCCAAACUCCUACGGGAGGCAGCAGUAGGGAAUCUUCCGCAAUGGACGAAAGUCUGACGGAGCAACGCCGCGUGAGUGAAGAAAGGUUUUCGGAUCGUAAAACUCUGUUGUCAGAGAAGAACAAGUUGGAGAGUAACUGCUCCAGCCUUGACGGUAUCUGACCAGAAAGCCACGGCUAACUACGUGCCAGCCGCAGC
rnacentral:rRNA from 1 species